rnacentral:rRNA from 1 species
GAUCCUGGCUCAGGAUGAACGCUAGCGACAGGCUUAACACAUGCAAGUCGAGGGGCAGCAUGAUUUGUAGCAAUACAGAUUGAUGGCGACCGGCGCACGGGUGAGUAACGCGUAUGCAACCUACCUAUCAGAGGGGGAUAGCCCGGCGAAAGUCGGAUUAAUACCCCAUAAAACAGGGGGUCCCGACAGUGGGAAUUAUUUAGUUAAAGAUUCAUCGCUGAUAGAUAGGCAUGCCGUU